rnacentral:ncRNA from 2 species
AGAUUUGUGAUAUUUUCAGGUCUCACCAACGUGAGCGAAAAGGGAACCCGGUGCAAAUCCGGGACGGGCCCGCCGCUGUAACCGGGGACGAACGUUGCAAUAAAGUCACUGUCUGCCAUGGGCAAACGGGAAGACGCAACAAGUAGGAAGAGCCGGAAGUCAGAAGACCUGCCUGAAAAUCGGUACGACU